GGGGCCGUGGUGCAGCACUGAGCUGCAGGCUGGGCCUGAGGUCGCUGGCACCACCAGCACCUCCGGAGGAGUCUCGUAUCCUCAGGGUGAAAGUGGUGUCUGGCAUUGAUCUGGCGAAAAAAGACAUCUUCGGAGCCAGCGACCCCUACGUGAAACUUUCCUUGUAUGUAGCAGAUGAGAACAGAGAACUUGCCCUGGUGCAGACAAAAACUAUUAAAAA